AUGGUUAUUACUUGUAUUGUUCGUUAAAGGGUUUCUUUGAUUCUGUCUGUGUGUGAUUUUGCUCCAAUGAUUUCGAGUUCGAGCUCAUCCAAUAAUUUCAUUGCUGGAUGCCUGGAUUUUGUUUGGUUUUGUAUUACUCGAGUGAUGAUGGUACCUGCGCUGAGCAUUAAUACCCUGAAUGAUCUACAAGUAGUAGUUGUAGAUUCAUGUUUAAUUUAUCCAUACAUUUCAUUUUUGGGGGCGGAUUUAGUUCAAUUGUGUUGAGUUGUACUGCAAAUUGAUUCAUCUUCUUCUAUAGUUAUAGACUUAUAGUAUAGCCUGAGAAUUUUCGAAUUUCAUAAUUUUUGAGAAUUUUGCUCAAAACUAGUUUCAGUUUUAAGUAUAAUUUGCUAAUUGAGUUAUGUCAAGUCAGAAAGCCAAAAUAUGAAUUGUAGGUGAUAAACACUCUACUUCACAUUCACCUUGUGUGAUGUAAUGUACUUAUCUAGUCCUUGUUAUUGAAUCAGUACACCAUCAUUAUCACUUUUAUUGUUUGUUUUAAGGGUUUCUGUAUGUGUGAGUGAUUUUGCACUAACGAUUCCAAGUUCGAGCUCAUCAUUUAUAAUUUCAUUGCCGGAUUUUGUUUGGUUUUAUAUUACUCAAGUGAUGAUGGUACCUGUGCUGAGCAUUAAUACCCUGAAUGAUCUACAAGUAGUAGUAG
rnacentral:lncRNA from 1 species